rnacentral:lncRNA from 1 species
UUCAUUGUUCGGAAAACUAGACAUCUCUCUUAUUAUUUUUUUCAUCUACUGAAGAGAAUUGGAGUUAACUAAUAUUAGAAGACAUUAACAAAGAACAGACACGCUGACCACUGCUUUCGUCCAGCCUCAUCUCCAGCAUAUGACCUAACGUAUACAACCACCAUCGUGAUCCGGCCUCGUCUCCACAAUUGAAGACGACAAAAAACAAACUGACGAUGACUUGAAAACGAACCACAAUGAUGGCUGAAGACGUCAAGUCGGUGGUUUUGGCGAUGUUUGGAGCUAGUCGUUGGCCAUUCCUGGUCGUUGGCCGUUCCUUGUCAGUGGUUUGACGACGUACGUGAGGCUGUUAGCUGGACGAAGAAGAUGAAGCAGGGGUGGUCGGUGUUGCUGGUGGAGAAGACGACGAAGGUUGGAGGGAAGCUGUAUCGUCAUUAUUAGGGUUCGUUACUGGACAGAGUGGUAUUUAGGUUCGUGGUUGUUUCAAUGUGACAGGCUGCUCCGGUGGUGAAUGGUGAUUGGAGAUGAUGCUUUGGUAGAGGUUGACGGGUGGUGAGGAUGGAGAUGACGGGGUCACUUGGGAGAAGGUGGGACGGGCAGUGGGGUGGCGGCUUGGGUGUGUUUGGAGAAGAUGAAGAGAGGCUAGGGUUUUUC